AUUAACUUUGAUUUAUUUUGUGGUAUAUUUUGUUUUAUCUUCUAUAUUAUUUUAACUUUAUUUCAUUUGUUUUGUAUUAAAUUUUUAUGGAUUGAAGGAGAACUUGUUGGGGAAUUGGCUUAUUCUGCAGAAGGAUCAAAUGAAAUGGCUACCGAGUCUUAACCCAAUGUUGAUGUAAUCAUAUCUGUGAAUCGUGAUCUCAACCUUGAUGGAGAAAUUGAUCGUGAGGAAUUUGCUAAUAGUCAGGGACUGAUUAAACAAUUACCUAAUUGUAUAAUUUGUAUUUUGUUUUGAUGUAAUUAUGUUAACUUUUAGAUGCUACUGUUGGUCUUUUUUUAUUUUUUACGUAAUUUAUGCUAGUGUUAGUCUGUUAUAGUGCACUGUGCAUCAGUGCUUUUGAUGUAAAUUAUUAAAUAUAACUUCUAAUCUUUGAUAGUUCUUUUUUUUAAGACUUUUUAAUUUUUAGUUUUUAAA